UCCCUGGUGGUUCAGUGGUUAAGACACCAGGCUCCCAAUGCAGGGGGCCCAGGUUCAAUCCCUGGUCAGGGAA